UCCUGUGCAACCGCACGAAUACCGUUUAAGUGGUUCGUCCCACGGUACUAGGCGAGUCUUCACAUC
rnacentral:sRNA from 1 species